ensembl:lncRNA
UCCAGGUUAGGAGCAAAGGUCAGGCUGCGGUGUGAUGUUUACAACAGGGACAUUGGUGCAGGGCUGCUCUCCAGAGUACAGAACUCAGACACAAAUUGGGCCAGUGUGUGGAACACAACGGGCAGUGCAGAGAAGGAAAACCUGCAAAGCUAACGGGGCACCUGUAAGUAACAGGAAGAUGUGGAACUCAAGAUUCGUGCUCUUGUCAGAAUCACCGAACUGGAGGCACAUACUGCAACGAGCUACGCGGACAGAUUUGCAAGGCAUAUUGUUGGAUGAAAAAAGUAAGAAACAGGGGCUGGAGAGCACAACAAAACAUACUUACAGCGGAAGCCAUGCUUGCACACAAAACAAGAGCUCCGCCUGUUUCAACGCACAUCCAAGAGUGUAGAUGAAGUCCUCCAGUGAGUGCUUUGGGGGCACCGGUAAGUGGGCAUAGGGGUUUUGUAGCAUUAAAUGUGACGGGCAGUUGAUCAUUAUGUGCCAGGAAGUAAGGAGUAAGAUGAACUCAACUGUUUGAAACCAAGAGGCAUCUAGAAAAGAUAUGGAAAUGAGGAAAAUAAAGAAAGGAGGCUGCUGGCUGCAGAGAUCUUGGUGACAGCCCUAGAAGGGAGCCUGUCCUCCCAGGGCCUUGUGUGUCACUCUCAGGGACAGGGGUUUCCUCCCAGAGCCAAGGCCUGUGAUCCCAGAGUGAGGACAGCUGUGACUGUGCCUCCCAAGAACAGACAGGGAGGCUGCGGAGCCUGGGCACAGGGCGUGGUGGCUCGAAGCCAGGGCUGGGCUUGGGCGUCCCAGGGACGUAGACUGCUGUCCCUGCUCGGAUGCAACCCCUGGCACCCACUUCUCUGUGAUUCAGAAGUUGUAGGACUUGGUAACAGGCUGGAGAGACCCUCAGUCUCUUGAAGUGGGCCAUUACCAGAGGCACCGUGAGAGCUCAUGUCCAAGAGAACCGUCGCUGUGACAGCCGCCCACCAGCUCUCAGGAGCUGGCUGUCAGAUCCCCACAGUCUCCAUACACAAAAAAGAGGCUUUGCGCAAGUCCGCAGCAAUGGAAUCCAUCUCGCCGAGGCCCUGGAGGGCGGUGUUAAGGGCCGUGACUCAGGUCCUCCCACCUGGGCUGCAAUUAUUUAAUUUUCCUGGAAAAUCAGCAUCAUGAUGAUGAAUGCUUGGCUGAUUUCAGGGCAGAUUAACGCAUUGGAGAUGAAGUGCUUUCCCACUUAUCUUCCACUGUGUCUUGCUGAGAGCCUGUCCUGAUUAAGAGGCCAGGUCCUGCUCUCUUCCCGACGGCUCGCUCACCACCUCUGGCCCUCCCUCGGGGCCCCAAAGGUGGGGGAGGAUGUUCUUUGGAGUUUAUGUUCUUUGUUCUUCCUUUUCAAGUGCUUUAGGUUCAACUUCCACGCCUUGUUAGGGGAUGGACUGUGUCCCGCCCACGAAUCCCCUGUUGAAGCUGUAAUACCCAGGACUGUGGCUGCCUGGAGAUGGGGUCUUUGGAGAGGUGAAGUCACUUUGGGUGGCCCUAAUUGGGUAUGGCUGGUGUCCUCCCAGCAGAGGAUGUUAGCACACAGGCACUGGCUGGGGCCACAAGCAGACACCAAGCAGGCAGCAGCUGCAGGCAAGAGAGAGGCCUUGAAAGAAGCCAACCCUGUGGACGCCUUGAGCUUGGACUUCCACCCUCUAGGACUGUGGAAAAUAACGUCCUCUUGUCUCGGCCUGGGUCUCAGGGCUUUGUUAUGGCAGGCAGCUGUGGUAGUUAGUGCAUCCUCCGGCAAUCUCACACUCCCUGGUCUACCCACGCUGGCCUUUUGGCGUGGCUGAAAUAUCUGUCCUUCCCCUGGGAACCUGCCUGUUUUCCAAUGGCAGGUCUCAACGUGGUGGCAGCCUCUUUCUGGAGCAGGUGUCCCGUCCUGUGGCACAUGUCGCUGACCAGUUGCUGCCCUGUGUCCCUGCUUGGGUCCUGCUGUCCCUGCUCUAUGCUGCUCUGUACUCCAGCAUGUCCCCCAGGAAGGCUGAGCAUGACAGGGACUUGCAAGGAUGGGAGUUCCCAAAACAAGAGCAAGAGGGAGGGGCACAAGGGGCCUCAGAGUGGCCUUGUGCCCACCAUCUUGGGAACCCAUGCCCUUCCGUUGGGGAGCCCGGGGUGGCGCAUGGUCCCUCACAGCCUCUGGGCAACUCUGGGUCCAGGUCUGGCUCGCACCCGGCCUCGGCGUCAUGGGGACGGAGGGACGCUGCAGAGCCAAGCCCAUAAAGCCAGCUGCCAGCCUGUUCAUGCUCCAUCACGAGGCCCAGACACUUGUGUGGGCAGGACCCCUGCGCUCGAGGAGGCUGGAUGUCCGUGGGAAGGUGAGUCAGGACCAAGCGUCCCCCUGGCAGGGAAUCAGAGCCAAGAUGGCAAGCGCCACAGGACAGUUGUUUACUGGCAGCAGACAGGAAUAGCUCAGCGAGCCAUUGCACAACAGCCAGGCCUGCCAGCAUGGCGGGAGGGAGGCGCCCGGACACGGGUCCCUGCUGCCCGAAAUCCCAGAAGCCCUUUGGCUCUGUCUCCCGCCGCCUGCUCCUCUCUGCCACCCCGGGACCUUCUCCAAUGACAGUGGGUCCGAAGGCCUGGCCGACUCUAAGCUGAGGUUUGAUUCCUGGGGAGCCGAACUUAUCCAUCGAGACCUGCAUCUCCUAGGCUUCCUGGUCUGGUCUCUGCCUGGCCUCCCAGGGGCAGCCUUGUUGCCUUGUUUCUGUGUCUGUGCCUCUGGGCUCCCCUGGGACAACCCAGGGGUGAGAAAAGCGAGUGGGUCUGAAUCCAGGUGUCUCUGUCACAGGCACUGGUUGGCCAAGCGUGCGGGUGGCUGUGCCCUUGUCACACGAGUGUCCUGGACAUUGGGCAGCACUGCAAAAGCCUUGGGCACACAGCUAGGUGCAGUGGGAGGGUCUGAGAUGAUCUCGUUUAGUUAUCCACUGCUGAACUCUGGACAGAGAGCACCCCGCCUGGUGGGGACAAGUCUGCCACUCAUCUGCCACCUUUCACAGGCUGACAGUGGCCGGGGGGAUGGAGGGGACAGCACCGAGGCUGUGGAGAGCGGUGGGCAGGGACUUCAGGGGCAGGCGCAAGGUGCAGAAGUUCACUGGUGCUCCACACCAGCUGCACGAUGGUUACAGCAGGCAGGUCCCCUAGGCAUGUCCCUGGCUUUGUCCAGAAGGGGAAACUGAGGCAGUGGGAGAGUCUAUCCAAUACACAGUGUGACAAAAGUAGGCAGGGCUCCGUGUCCACUGCCCCUCUGCCCAGGGCAGCUGUCUGUCAUCCAGGCAUGGAAGGACAAGAAAGGGGGACACAUCUUUGCUCCGUACAAGGGGCGCCAGGAUUCCUAAUUCCCCUUUGCAAACCUGGGUGUGUCUCCUGGGUGACUUUCUCGUGCUGUCUCCCCACCAGGGGCAGCCAGACCUCCUGGCCUCGUGGGCUGUGCAAGUGAUGGGAGUGGGGAGCCUGGGUCUGUGGUCAUCAGCCCCAGGGGUUGUGAGGCAGCAAGAGGCCCCGUCCUGCCUACUUCCAGGCUCCCCAGAUCCUGGCUGUUUCUUCAGAGUGACCCCUGGGAUCUCCACACCGCCUGAGGGGAGGCAGGAAAGGGCAGCCCUGGGGCUGAGGAAGGCGGGGCCAGGAGGACGGAUGGUCCCCACAGCGAGUCCACCGAAGAUGCUCAUUGGCAGGAGGAGGCUGUUCCCGAGGAAGACUGUUUGGGUGAUGUGUGAACUUACAUAACAGCAAGAGGAGGCCAUUUGUACACACCAAGCUGGCCCCUCCUUCCACCCGCACACCGGCCCUCUCCCCAGGGAAUGGACUUCUCCACCCUCGCCUCUCCGUUCUCACCGAAGCACCAGUAUUAGUGGAUGUGAAUGGCUUUCGCGCCGACGCAGCCCACCAGACAAGAUGGGCAGCAGGAGCACACCCCCCAUCACCCUUCUUCAAGACGCCCCAUAAAAUACCAGCUGCAAUCGGAGCACCUCUUUCUCUUGAGAGUCCACACGUAUUUCUUUGUUUACUUUAGAUUCUGCCUAAUAAAUCCCUUUAUGUCUCUUCCUGAUCCAUCUAGAAAAGUCUCUUUCUUUUCUGUUUUUGUUUUUUUUUUAAAAAAAAAAACAGGG